rfam:Ailuropoda melanoleuca scaffold456_49, whole genome shotgun sequence.
AGGCCCCUCCUUCCCAGCCACAGCUCCCGCUCACCCCUGCCACGUCAAAGGAGGCAGAAGGGGAGUCGGGAGCAGAGAGGGGACCA